UGGGGAAUAUUGGACAAUGGGCGAAAGCCUGAUCCAGCCAUGCCGCGUGUGUGAAGAAGGUCUUCGGAUUGUAAAGCACUUUAAGUUGGGAGGAAGGGCAGUUACCUAAUACGUGAUUGUUUUGACGUUACCGACAGAAUAAGCACCGGCUAACUCUGUGCCAGCAGCCGCGGUAAUA
rnacentral:rRNA from 1 species